AUUGAACGCUGGCGGCAGGCUUAACACAUGCAAGUCGAGCGGAGUGAUGGUGCUUGCACUAUCACUUAGCGGCGGACGGGUGAGUGAUGCUUAGGAAUCUGCCUAUUAGUGGGGGACAACAUUCCGAAAGGGAUGCUAAUACCGCAUACGCCCUACGGGGGAAAGCAGGGGAUCUUCGGACCUUGCGCUAAUAGAUGAGCCUAAGUCGGAUUAGCUAGUUGGUGGGGUAAAGGCCUACCAAGGCGACGAUCUGUAGCGGGUCUGAGAGGAUGAUCCGCCACACUGGGACUGAGACACGGCCCAGACUCCUACGGGAGGCAGCAGUGGGGAAUAUUGGACAAUGGGGGGAACCCUGAUCCAGCCAUGCCGCGUGUGUGAAGAAGGCCUUAUGGUUGUAAAGCACUUUAAGCGAGGAGGAGGCUCUUUUGGUUAAUACCCAAGAUGAGUGGACGUUACUCGCAGAAUAAGCACCGGCUAACUCUGUGCCAGCAGCCGCGGUAAAAC
rnacentral:rRNA from 1 species